AACGAACGCUGGCGGCAUGCCUAACACAUGCAAGUGGAACGAGACCUUCGGGUCUAGUGGCGCACGGGUGCGUAACGCGUGGGAACCUGCCCUUAGGUUCGGAAUAACUCCCCGAAAGGGGUGCUAAUACCGGAUAAUGUCUUCGGACCAAAGAUUUAUCGCCUUUGGAUGGGCCCGCGUUGGAUUAGCUAGUUGGUAGGGUAAAAGCCUACCAAGGCGACGAUCCAUAGCUGGUCUGAGAGGAUGAUCAGCCACACUGGGACUGAGACACGGCCCAGACUCCUACGGGAGGCAGCAGUGGGGAAUAUUGGACAAUGGGCGAAAGCCUGAUCCAGCAAUGCCGCGUGAGUGAUGAAGGCCUUAGGGUUGUAAAGCUCUUUUACCCGGGAUGAUAAUGACAGUACCGGGAGAAUAAGCUCCGGCUAACUCCGU
rnacentral:rRNA from 1 species